GCAGUCGAGGGGCAGCGCAGGUAGCAAUACUGGGCGGCGACCGGCAAACGGGUGCGGAACACGUACGUAACCUUCCUUUAAGUGGGAGAUAGCCCGAAGAAAUUCGGAUUAAUACCCCAUAAGAUUGUGGAGUGGCAUCACUCAGCAAUUAAAGAAAUUCGCUUAAAGAUGGGCGUGCGGCUGAUUAGGUAGUUGGUGAGGUAACGGCUCACCAAGCCAGCGAUCAGUAACUGGCGUGAGAGCGCGACCAGUCACACGGGCACUGAGACACGGGCCCGACUCCUAGGGGAGGCAGCAGUAAGGAAUAUUGGUCAAUGGACGCAAGUCUGAACCAGCCAUGCCGCGUGAAGGAUGAAGGUCCUCUGGAUUGUAAACUUCUUUUAUAUGGGAAGAAACCACUUUUUUCUAAAGGUGUUGACGGUACCAUAGGAAUAAGCACCGGCUAACUCCGUGCCAGCAGCCGCGGUAAUACGGAGGGUGCAAGCGUUAUCCGGAUUCACUGGGUUUAAAGGGUGCGUAGGCGGAUUAGUAAGUCCGUGGUGAAAUCUCCGAGCUUAACUCGGAAACUGCCGUGGAUACUAUUAAUCUUGAAUACUGUGGAGGUUAGCGGAAUAUGUCAUGUAGCGGUGAAAUGCAUAGAUAUGACAUAGAACACCAAUUGCGAAGGCAGCUGGCUACACAGAGAUUGACGCUGAGGCACGAAAGCGUGGGGAUCAAACAGGAUUAGAUACCCUGGUAGUCCACGCCCUAAACGAUGAUUACUCGACAUUUGCGAUAUACAGUAAGUGUCUGAGCGAAACAUUAAGUAAUCCACCUGGGAAGUACGACCGCAAGGUUGAAACUCAAAGGAAUUGACG
rnacentral:rRNA from 1 species